GCAUUGCUUCACUUAAAAAAUCAGUGUUCCCUUUCUAUAAGGCUUUUUUUUUUUCACCUAGAUCACACCUGCCGCUGAGAUAAUCACCAGGUUGCUUUGACAAGUUCCUGAAAUGUUUGCAUCAUAUGAAUGCCACAUUUGAUGGUUUUCCACCUACCACUGGAUAUUAGCCAGGGGGAUAGAAUACCAAGAAGAUGAAGUAUCUGGUGAAGAAAAAGAACUGUCUCCUGGAUAACUGAAGAUUAUGUAUUCCUUGAAGGUUGUAUUCUGGUAGGGGAAUCAGCACACAUUUCAGUAACAAGUCAAAUGGAAAGACCUUGUGCUUCAAAAGGUAUAGAGACAGAUAUCUUUUUCAAAUGUCAUUUCUAUUGAUAAUAAUUGUCUAUAUCUGGUAUUGAAUCAUUUGAAAGGGCCAAGAACUCUGGUAGGGAGAACUUUCUUGUUUUGAUCUUC
rnacentral:lncRNA from 1 species